AUUGAACGCUGGCGGCAUGCUUUACACAUGCAAGUCGAACGGUAACAGGCCUUCGGGUGCUGACGAGUGGCGAACGGGUGAGUAAUGCAUCGGAACGUGCCCAGAGGUGGGGGAUAACGCAGCGAAAGCUGUGCUAAUACCGCAUGUGAUCUGAGGAUGAAAGCGGGGGACCAGGCAGCAAUGUUUGGCCUCGCGCCUUUGGAGCGGCCGAUGUCAGAUUAGGUAGUUGGUGGGGUAAAGGCCUACCAAGCCGACGAUCUGUAGCUGGUCUGAGAGGACGACCAGCCACACUGGGACUGAGACACGGCCCAGACUCCUACGGGAGGCAGCAGUGGGGAAUUUUGGACAAUGGGCGCAAGCCUGAUCCAGCAAUGCCGCGUGAGGGAAGAAGGCCUUCGGGUUGUAAAACGCUUUUGUACGGAACGAAAAGGCUCUGGCUAAUACCUGGGGCUGAUGACGGUACCGUAAGAAUAAGCACCGGCUAACUACGUG
rnacentral:rRNA from 1 species